rnacentral:rRNA from 1 species
UGAGGAAUUUUCCGCAAUGGGCGAAAGCCUGACGGAGCGAUACCGUGUGUGUGAUGAAGUUCUUCGGAAUGUAAAACACUGUCAGUGGGGGAGAUAUUGACGGUACCCACAGAGGAAGGCCCGGCUAACUACGUGCCAGCAGCCGCGGUAAUACGUAGGGGCCAAGCGUUGUCCGGAAUUAUUGGGCGUAAAGGGUUCGUAGGCGGCUUGAUAAGUCGGAUGUUAAAUCUACAGGCUCAACCUGUAGCCGCAUUUGAUACUGUCAGGCUAGAGAGUGGUAGAGGAAAGUGGAACUUACGGUGUAGCGGUGAAAUGCGUAGAUAUCGUAAGGAACACCAGUGGCGAAGGCGACUUUCUGGGCCACUUUUGACGCUGAGGAACGAAAGCCAGGGGAGCAAACGGG